rnacentral:rRNA from 1 species
UACGUAGGGUGCGAGCGUUGUCCGGAAUUAUUGGGCGUAAAGGGCUCGUAGGCGGUUUGUCGCGUCGGGAGUGAAAUCCACUGGCUUAACUGGUGGCUUGCUUUCGAUACGGGCAGACUGGAGGUAUGCAGGGGAGAACGGAAUUCCUGGUGUAGCGGUGAAAUGCGCAGAUAUCAGGAGGAACACCUAUGGCGAAAGCAGCUCUCUGGGACGGUACUGACGCUGAGACGCGAAAGCGUGGGGAGCGAACAGG